rnacentral:rRNA from 1 species
GACGAACGCUGGCGGCGUGCUUAACACAUGCAAGUCGAGCGGUAAGGCUCCUUCGGGAGUACACGAGCGGCGAACGGGUGAGUAACACGUGAGCAAUCUGCCCUUCUCAUUGGAAUAACCAUUGGAAACGAUGGCUAAUGCCGAAUAUGACUUCCUUUCGCAUGUCAGGAAGUGGAAAGCUCCGGCGGAGAAGGAUGAGCUCGCGGCCUAUCAGCUUGUUGGCGAGGUAAUGGCUCACCAAGGCAACGACGGGUAGCCGGCCUGAGAGGGUGACCGGCCACACUGGGACUGAGACACGGCCCAGACUCCUACGGGAGGCAGCAGUGGGGAAUAUUGGACAAUGGGCGAAAGCCUGAUCCAGCAACGCCGCGUGAGGGAUGACGGCCUUCGGGUUGUAAACCUCUUUCAGCAGGGACGAAGCGAAAGUGACGGUACCUGCAGAAGAAGGACCGGCCAACUACGUGCCAGCAGCCGCGGUAACAC